rnacentral:rRNA from 1 species
UACGGAGGGUGCGAGCGUUGUCCGGAAUCGCUGGGCGUAAAGGGCGCGUAGGCGGCUGGGGAAGUCGGCGGUGAAAGCCCGGAGCUCAACUCCGGGUCGGCCGUCGAGACUCCUCGGCUCGAGCUCACUAGAGGCAGAUGGAAUUCCGGGUGUAGCGGUGGAAUGCGUAGAGAUCCGGAAGAACACCGGUGGCGAAGGCGGUCUGCUGGGGUGAGGCUGACGCUGAUGCGCGACAGCGUGGGGAGCAAACAGG